UACAGAGGUCUCAACCGUUGUUCGGAUUCAUUGGGCGUAAAGGGUGCGUAGGCGGUCGUGCAAGUCGGAUGUGAAAUCUCAGGGCUCAACCCUGAAACUGCAUUCGAUACUGCGGGGCUAGAGUGCAGAAGGGGCAACUGGAAUUCUCGGUGUAGCGGUGAAAUGCGUAGAUAUCGAGAGGAACACCUGCGGCGAAGGCGGGUUGCUGGGCUGACACUGACGCUGACAGCGCGAAAGCUAGGGGAGCGAACGGG
rnacentral:rRNA from 1 species